CAUUCAAGGUCAAGAAUCAAUGCAGACCAGGCUAAGUACAAAGAAAAACUGCUUUCGGCCCCAGCUGACUGUGAAAAAAUAUAGACAUAGUCAAACCAAAGGCAAUACAAGUUACAGUGCUGAGAUUACAUUUGCAAAGCUUAACUGUCCAGUGAGAUCCAACAGUCUGCCUUUGCGACCCUGGAGCUGGCGUGGUUUGGGGAAGCUGAAGAAGCCACAGGCAGCCGGCCUGGACUGGAAUCACUGAAAAGACGCCCCAGGAGACCUCAGGGUGUAAAAGAACUGCCCUCCCAAGAGAGGAAGCAAGUUGGAGAUUGCACAGCACCUUCUCUGAACGUUAUACACAGACGUGGCCAGUCUGGACGUACGUGUAUCAUCAGAGAAAACGGAUGCCAGCUGAACAGCAUUCAAUGUACCAUGCAUUUACUGGUUAAAAGAAGCCAAGAAGGGGAGAAGGAAAAAGAACAGAACGAGUUAACUGAGGAAAAAUAGCUAGCAAGCUCAGUCCAAAGAUAAGAUGCUGGCACCAUCCAAGGACACUGCCCACAGCUAAGACUUGGCUGAUAGCCAAGAAAAGGGGGGCCUGAAUGUGCCCAAGCAACUAUGAGAUCUGCAAAACACUGCCAGGCAUUAAUAAAAUGUGUUAGGUUUC